GAUGAAGAACGCAGCGAAAUGCGAUAAGUAAUGUGAAUUGCAGAAUUCAGUGAAUCAUCGAAUCUUUGAACGCAUCUUGCGCUCCUUGGUAUUCUGAGGAGCAUGCCUGUUUGAGUGUCAUUAAAUUCUCAACUACACUGACUUUGAAUUGGUGUGGCUUGGAUUUGGGGGGAAAAUUGUUGUGGGCUUUUUGUAUAGUCUGCUCCCCUGAAAUUGAUUAGCGGUACCUUUGUGGAACUGUCUACAGGUGUGAUAAUUAUCUACAUCUUAGACAUCUGCUGGAAUGCUGCUUUCUAAACCUUACUUGUAUUGACAAUCUUGACCUCAAAGCAGGUAGGACUACCCGCUGAACUUAAGCAUAUCAAUAAGCGGAGGA
rnacentral:misc_RNA from 1 species